AGUCUGAACGCUGGCGGCGUGGCUAAGACAUGCAAGUCGUACGGGACCCGCAAGGGUCCAGUGGCGGACGGGUGAGUAAUGAAUCGCUAAUGUACCCCGAUGCCUGGGAUAGCCAUCCGAAAGGAUGGGUAAUACCAGAUGAGACCACAGGACCGCAUGGUCCGGUGCUCAAAGGGUCACCGCAUUGGGAGCAGGCGAUUUCGUAUCAGGUAGUUGGUAGGGUAACGGCCUACCAAGCCGACGACGCGUAGCCGGGCUGAGAGGUCGGCCGGCCACAUUGGGACUGAGACACUGCCCAGACCUCCGUACGGGGGCUGCAGUAACGAAUCUUCCGCAAUGCACGCAAGUGCGACGGAGCGACGCCGCGUGGUAGAUGAACGUCCUGGGAUAGUAAACUCUAGUCGAAGGGAAGAAAGUUCUGAUACCUACCCCGAGAGGAAGAGGUACGGACUAACCGU
rnacentral:rRNA from 1 species